CCCCGACCCCGACCCCGACCUGGACUCCCGCCCUGCUCCGCGGCGGCCGGACCUACUGUGGAGGCGAGGCCAGGCGGCUCCACCUCCGUGUCCCCGCCUCGCUGCGCCCCCUGGCGGCCGGUCCGGCCUCUGCAGCAGAAUUUUCAGCUGGAUGCACGGUAGUCCAGAAUAACCACUGUAAUGGACUUCCCAGCCUCCCGUGCACUUGUGUGGCUACGUGACCAAGUUCAUCAUGGGAUUUGAGCAAAAGUGCUGUGUGCAACAUUUGGGUCUUAUCCUGAAAGGUGAGGGCAUGCCUGUCCCCUCCUUGUCUCCACCUUGCGACUUGGAACUUGGACAUAGUGACAAGCCACCGUGGAUCAUGAAGAUGAUGGCAGCACCUGAGGAGGGUGGAGGGAGCCGACACAACCUCACUGAGCUGGACCACCUACCCGCUCCCAGCCACCUCCCUCUAGACUGUUACGUGAGAAAUAAACUUCUGUCUUGUGUAA